UGGCCAGCCGAGAUGGAUGCGUAGCAUUACCCUCCAGGUACCGAAGCAGACCCUCGACCUCUCCCGCCGCACGCUUUCGGGCCUGCUGAAGCUCCGGCCGGCCCUCCGUCUCCACCUUGGUCAGGAAACAAAACAUGGCCGCUGUAAGAGCACACCUGUGGGCCCAGGGUGGCGAUCUCCCUCUGCACCUCAUCCAGCCGUAACAGGGAUGGGUGCUGCCCAGGGUACGGGCCCUGGGGUCCGGCAUAACCUGGGAAGGGUCCUGGCAUCUGUUGAGUCUGUGACUGCUGACUGCCAUGAUCCAUCGUCCUCUUCCCACCAUCAAAGGGUUUCCCAAACAGGCUGAAAGAGAAACCGAGAGCUGUGAUGACUAAGGCGGACUCAUCCAGAUGUUUCCAACUACACCCUUCAUAAACAAAACCUCCAAAGAGACCCAACGCCUCUGCAUUUACUCCUGAUUUCUUUCAACAUGGAGACAGAAGAGCUGUCAGUCAAUAAAUGGGAAAAUAAGUUACUGAGACUAAUAGCAGGGUGUCUUCAAACUUCAGCAUCAACACUACAGGGAGGGAGUCGAGAUUCUGGAACUGUCCACAGCAGCUAUGAUCAUGAGGAUGUUACCAGCAAUAUCAACUAAAACUAUCUUCUGUUCAUGGAGGCUGAAUGCAAUACACGUCUCAUCAUCAUCAUCAUGAUAUGCCAUCAUGAGGAGUGUCUCACAGCUGUACACUGAUAGAUUAACCAGGGAUCUAACAUGUCCCCCAAAUAUGGGUUUUGCAAUGGCUGAUUCUUAAAUUACUACAUCUGUUCCCCCAGUACUGAAUAUGUGGCUACAUCCUGGGCAUGAACUAUACAAUAAAGCAGAGUGAGAAUAUAACACAAGCCUGUACAUGCCUCACCAAAACGAUGCUUCCUGUCAUCUGACAACGCUGUGCCUGAUUUUACAUGAAUGAAACGAUCACAGAAGGACAUUUUUAUUGCUUCUGAACACCAGCCAACAGAAUCCGAGCAUGUCUCACCCCCUCCUGAGAUGCGCAGCAUAUUUCUCACCU